UACAGAGGGUGCGAGCGUUAGUCGGAAUUACUGGGCGUAAAGCGUGCGUAGACGGUCAUGUAAGUCGGGUGUGAAAGCCCCGGGCUCAACCUGGGAAUUGCAUUCGAGACUGCAUGGCUAGGAUGCGGAAGAGGGAAGCGGAAUUUCCGGUGUAGCGGUGAAAUGCGUAGAUAUCGGAAGGAACACCAGUGGCGAAAGCGGCUUCCUGGUCCAGCAUCGACGUUCAGGCACGAAAGCGUGGGGAGCAAACAGG
rnacentral:rRNA from 1 species